AACACUACACCUCCAGGGACCAUUUCUGCAGUAUGUUACCAGAGAAGUGUCUCUGAACAGAGCAGGAUGUCAGAAGUCCUGGGGAUGAGCUGUGGUCUCAGUCCCGCGUUUGAAGUUGGCCAGUGGUGCCACCUAGUGGAGCUACUGCUUAUGGCUGGGGAUGGUUUUUUUGGGAAAGAUUAAGCGGGAGCGAAGCCAAUCUCAGGUAU